UACGAAGGGGGCUAGCGUUGUUCGGAUUUACUGGGCGUAAAGCGCACGUAGGCGGAUCGAUCAGUCAGGGGUGAAAUCCCAGAGCUCAACUCUGGAACUGCCUUUGAUACUGUCGAUCUGGAGUAUGGAAGAGGUGAGUGGAAUUCCGAGUGUAGAGGUGAAAUUCGUAGAUAUUCGGAGGAACACCAGUGGCGAAGGCGGCUCACUGGACCGGAACUGACGCUGAGGCGCGAAAGCGUGGGGAGCAAACAGG
rnacentral:rRNA from 1 species